GACGAACGCUGGCGGCGUGCUUAACACAUGCAAGUCGAACGGAAAGGCCCUGCUUUGGUGGGGUGCUCGAGUGGCGAACGGGUGAGUAACACGUGAGUAACCUGCCCUUGACUUUGGGAUAACUUCAGGAAACUGGGGCUAAUACCGGAUAGGAGCUCCUGCUGCAUGGUGGGGGUUGGAAAGUUUCGGCGGUUGGGGAUGGACUCGCGGCUUAUCAGCUUGUUGGUGGGGUAGUGGCUUACCAAGGCUUUGACGGGUAGCCGGCCUGAGAGGGUGACCGGACACAUUGGGACUGAGAUACGGCCCAGACUCCUACGGGAGGCAGCAGUGGGGAAUAUUGCACAAUGGGCGGAAGCCUGAUGCAGCAACGCCGCGUGCGGGAUGACGGCCUUCGGGUUGUAAACCGCUUUCGCCUGUGACGAAGCGUGAGUGACGGUAAUGGGUAAAGAAGCACCGGCUAACUACGUG
rnacentral:rRNA from 1 species